GGAAGUUUCGAAAAGAGUCUGGAAUCUAUAAAUUUUUCUGCUCUCAAUGCUAGAAAGGUUAUAGAAGGUUGUAUUGAAAGCUUGUCAAUUGAUGGACAAGAUAUAGGGGGGGAAAUCAGUCAAAAAUCGAGUAAGAAGAAGAAGGAGCCGGGUAAAUAUGGCUUCGACUUCUUUCAGAUUGCUGCUGGUCUGUUUCAAGCAAAGUCGGGUUCGAAGUCUACUAAAAUGAAAGAUCA
rnacentral:misc_RNA from 1 species